UACGUGUAUAAGAACACAACCUACACGCCAGUCGGGCUGGUUCCGAAGGUAACCGCCCUAGCUGUAAUUCCACCUGCACCGGAAGUAGUACCGCUAUGGUGCAAUCCUUUUUUCGUGUCGUUUGUCGUCAUGGCGACCAUGGCCACGGUAGCUGUUUUAGCAGUCAACUGGGACAGCAGAGAACAAACUGAUGACGAUAAAGAAGACGAGAACAAGAUGUCUUCCGACUUGAGGAUCUGCCUGAUGAAGGAACAAGGCGCGCCUUCAGCAACGUUCCACCCCCUGGCGAGUUGCGCCGAAAAUGA